ensembl:lncRNA
GAAAAGCGUUGAGGGAAAACAGGUUCAGAAGUGGCUUAGCUACCCAGAAAUUCAAUGUCUUCCACUGGUGCUUGCGGGCUGGGAGCUGGGAAUUGACAGCAGGAACCCAGAGGACUGCUCAUGGCAGUUCACCAUCUCCCAUCUUGCUGCUCUGUAGGACCAAAGAGGGACACCCGGAGGGACUGCACACUGUGCAGGACCAUCUUUUAUUCAUGGCCGAGCGGCGCACACGCCGCUGCUUGCCGCCUUCUUGGGAUGCUGGCAUUAAUAUUUCAUCCUGGAGCCAGCUCGUGCUGAAGAGCUCAUGUCCCAGGAAACCCUUUUUGGGGGCCAGCUGCAAUAUUUCCUUUCAAGGGUUCCUUGGGAAGAUAACAGUGGAAAAGCCACGCUCUGACAUGGUGGGUCUGGAACGAAAAGUGAAGGUGUUCCUCUGCAAGCAUCAAAGCAGUUUCAACUUAACCAAAAAUGCUUCUCCUGAAUCACUGGGUCUUUAAAUCGAAAUACCUUCUCAAUAGAUGUAAUAAUGCUGGAGAAAAAGUGAUUGGAAAACAACUCCAUGUCCUCAGUGAUCCUUAUGGGUCCCUUCCAACAUGGGAUGUUCUGUGAUCUACAUGAGUUCCGUAGGAUGGAAGGGGAUGCUGCAUGUGGGAACGGAAGGAGGAACAGUUAUUUGCACAGCUCUUUGAGAUCCUUGAAGGAAAACCCUGGAGAGAUAUAAGCAGUGAAUGGAGAAGGGGAACCGUAGCUCUACUGUGAGCCAGCGUGGUGCCCUGUGAGAAAUGGAACCCUCCAGGUGAGACUCUGCCCUCUGAGAAGUGAAAAGCAAUUUUUCUGCUGACUGCACCUGACCACAGCUCCAGACUCCCCCAUCAGAUGCUGGGCCAAAGUCAGUGCUACAGCCGAGCUGUUACCUCACAGUGCAAUAAAAAACGAAAUACUGCCUGAUCCAGCAACCCCGUUAG